UACGUACGUACGGUAUGUCCGAAGUAGUAAGUCGUCCUUGGUCCGUCAGUCUGGACGGAGGAAGAAAAAGCCGAGAAGACUUGGAAGAAAUGAAACUCACAUUCAAUUGUGAGCACGAAAACAUUCCUUGAAGGAAUGAAUCUCUCUGACGCCUCGGCCGCCAGAGCGACUUAUCGACUGGGAAGUUCAACGAACAAGUGAAAUGUGAAAGCAUCACCUAGUCUAGAUUGCUCGGCACAACAAAUAAUGAUUCGACGCUCAAAUCAUAUCGUUUGUGUUAGUGCUUCCUUAUCAAUGCGGCGAUAAGAGCGUCCGUCGUUCCUCUGGCAAUUGUAUUGAUGAUACUCCACAUCAACGUGGCCAUGAGUCGGGCACUUAUUUUGAUCAGUGAUUGUACUACGUACAUCUGUGUUGAUGUGUCUGCUUGUUUUCCCAUCCAAAGGCUGAAGGUCAUCGUCUCCGACACAAAGACGCCUUACAGUCAAUGAACGAGACGGGUUAGCUUGCUUAGAGGUCUUACGAAAUAUUAGAGCUUUAUAGGCACUCAUUCCUGAUUCUUUUCGUGACAGAAAUAUAUUCGCUCCGAGUGAGACGUAACAACUUGAACGUACUUUAACGUGUCUCUUUCUGAUUUUUUCAAACAUGUCAGAGGAUCAGCAAUAUCCUCAAAAGGCUAGGUGCUUGCUAUUGCUACUAGUGUUUUAUAAAAGCGAGUAAACCGGGUUUGAAACACUCAGCCUUGCCAUGUUCAGCACCUUGAGUUCUAACUUCGAACGUAAUAGAAGGACAUUAUUCUCAGCGGACCAAGUGAGUGAGUACAUGUUUCAGUUCUCAUAGUAGAACAAGUCUCCUUUGUUGGCGGUUAUCUACAUAAAUGAUCUCACAUCUAGUUCAUGAAUUUUCGAAAGGCAUCUCAGCUGAGCCUGAAGUAGCAAGGGUCAUGCGUGGUCCAGCCAUGGAAGUGGAUCUGACCUAAAAUUGGAGGUUUGGAUUUUGAGCCACUGAUCAAAAUAUCAAAAUCUUGAGCAGAAUCCUGAAAUGAGUGCCAAGAACUAUGGAGGCAUUCUCAUCAGUGUAGGAGUCCUUCUUGGAUGGAUGACAAAGACAGAUGGGGAAGUGUGCGGAAACAUCACUCUCAAAUCUCUUCGAGCCUCCGAUUAUGACCACCUUCAGAACUGUACCAUCAUCGAAGGCAAUGUGGGAGUUUUUUUAGGCAUGGGAAACUUCGGAGGAAUGAAUGACAUUUCGAUGGAUCUUAGUUUCCCCAACAUUGUGGAAAUCACCAAUUACCUUUUGGUAUACAAAUCGUAUCAGCUGGAAAGCCUGUCUCAUCUGUUUCCCAAUUUGAUUGUCAUUCGCGGUCAUGAACUUCUUGGGGACCAAGCUCUGUCUAUUUUGGAUAACGAGAAUCUACGCGAUGUCGGUUUGACCUCAUUAACCACGAUUCUCCGUGGCGGCGUGGUCAUUAAAAACAACCUCAUGUUGUGCUAUGUGGAUUUGAUUGACUGGAGGCGAAUCGUCUCACAAAAUUAUCACAACCACAUCGACGUCCAGGAGGUUUUCGAUCGUGGAAUUUGCCCGUACAAGUGUCCUUCGAGUUGUCCUUUCCUUCCCACGCCCCAUGGAAAGGCUCAGUUCUGCUGGAACCUUGAGCAUUGCCAAAGAUUCGAAUUAGACAAUUGUUCGCCGAAAACCCAAACCUGCUUCUACGACUCCAAUGGUUUGAUAGAGAACUGUGCCAGCGAAUGCCUUGGAGGAUGUGACCAUGACAUCGCAGGGCCUCAAAACGGGGGUUGCCACUCAUGUCGAAACUUACGUAUUGGGAGCCUUUGUCAGAGCUCGUGCCCUCAACGGACAUUUACACUCAAGGACUAUAGAUGCGUUAGUAACGAGGAGUGCAGUGCUGAAAUUGAUACAAAAGGCUCGGGCGGAGCUUAUAAGCCUUUUGAAGGCCAAUGUCUUAGUAAAUGUCCGGAAAACACCAAAGAAGAAGAUGGAACAUGUAAAGUCUGCACAGAGCAUUGCCAAAUUGAAUGCGAAGGGGGAGUGAUCUUCAGUGCAGAUGCACUAGCAAAGUUUGUUGGAUGCACGGUCAUCAAAGGGUCCCUUUCUAUAAUAUUGAAAGGAAGAAACAUCUUCAAGAAAUUGGACCAGGCUCUGUCCAAAGUGAGAGUUAUUGAAGGCGGCCUCUUGAUUUAUCGAGUCUCUCUGAUCUCAUUGGACGUCUUCAAAAGUUUGGAGGUGAUUGAAGGACGAAAUCUGGAGGGAGACUACUCGCUGACGUUAUCGGAGAAUGAGAAUUUGAAGAAAAUGUUCCCGCAACGAACCCCGGAACACCGAGUGAAAAUUUACAGAACCGUCGACGGUGUCAGAUAUCCUGGCCGAGUAUUUAUCAACUACAACCCUCACUUAUGCAAGGAAGAGGUAGAGGCCGUUCUAGGGCCCACCCUCAACGAUUCGCAAGUUUCCGAUAAAACAAAUGGAGACAAAGCUCAAUGCAAUCCGAUGCACUUGAAGGUGAACACAACUGCCAGGUUAAGUGAUUUCGGAGGUACGGAGAUCAGGCUAGAAUUCAAGAACUUUCAGAAGACCAUAUUCGAUAUGAACCAGGUGGAUGACCUAAGGGUCUUCAAAACUUUUCAAGUUCAUUAUAGAAAGCUUGAACUUCCCACGUUCAAAGCUCAAAACCUCACCAAGUACGGGCAACGCGACUUAUGUUUGGAGCAGUGUUCCAAUUCUGCCAAUCGGGCAAGCUCAUCCUCAAGUGGGACCAAUCGUCCAUGUGAUAAAAGUGUAUGGCAGACUGUUGAAUUUGAGCCAAUCGGGUCGGAUACGAAUGAGUCUUCUCUAACAUGGCCCAACGAGGUCUUGAGGAUCACAGAUGUGGAACCGAAUACUUAUUAUGGCUUAUUUGUCACCACUCUUCUCGUGCGAGAAUACAUGGUUAAUCAGAAAUUCAGUGGUGCCGAGUCAGAAAUCAUUUACAUUAAAUCACCAGUGUAUUAUCCCUCCAAACCCGAAGGACUAUCAAUCGUCAAUAUCAAUUACACAACAUUUAACAUCAUGUGGGAACCACCGUCAUCCCCUAAUGGAGAGAUUGACCACUAUGAACUCCUUUUGGAGCUCAAGUCGAACAGCUUAGUGCUCGAACGAAACGACAAUUUUUGUGAUAAACAGUUCCAGAAUGGAUUUAUCGAUUCCAAAACGGACAAGGAAAGUAACGUGACAGCUACCAAUGUGAGUGAAGACAAGCAGUUGCCUGAGGAUGACAUCCAAAAGCAGUUGUGCGCUUGUUCCUCUUCCCAGUGUCAACAAUCUGACAAUCAGGUCGUUCAAGGUCCAAUCACUGAGGAGAAUAGGAUAUCAAAAGAUGUUUUCCAAACCUUGGUCAUAAAUAGUGCCUUUCCAACGCGUGAGAAUUUUCCUGGCAAUGACAAUGACGAUGAGAGCACUGAAACUAAAGCCAAGCGAUCAAUUAGGGAUGAUGCUGAUGAACAGAUCACAACCAAAGAUAACCUAGUACCUGAGGUCCACAUUGACUCUGGAAGUACGUCAACUUGGGUCCAAACCCUGCAACGUGAAGACAACGCUUACAGAGUUUUCUAUACACCCGUGCCAAGUCAGAAAACGUCCUUCCAAGCCACAUACUUGAAACAUUUUGGCGAGUACUCGGUCAAGUUACGAGCUUGCCACGCCCCUAAGUGGGUCGGCGAAACUUUUGUUAAGUGGUGUAGCCUACCCGCAUUCCAGAAUCCGCUGGUUUAUCCUAAACCCGGAGCGGAUGACAUUGCCGAAUCUUCACUUCAUUACCGUUUAAGCAACGGGUCAGAUCCAACCUGGUUGAUUUGGGAUCCCCCUAAAGAUCCCAAUGGUCAUAUAUUGAGUUAUCUAAUCAGAUACAAAUCUGAUGCCAAUGGAACUGAUGUGUCCCAUUCGUGCAUCUCGGCCAAUGAUUUCGAGAAAUUUGGGAACAGAUUUCCCCUGCCUAUGAAGGAAAGUUACUUUGUGAGUGUGAAAGCCAUUUCCAUGAGUGCUCAAGGAAAUUGGACGAACUUCAUUUGGGUGGAUCAGUCUAGUGAAACCAGGUCGGUACACUGGUUUAUCAUUGCUCCCAUUGCCUUGAUGUUCCUAAUUUUGGCCUUCAUCGUCUCGUAUCUGUACUUCCGUUGGGUUCAGGAAAAACAGAGGAAAAGCACAUUUGCUACUCAAAAUCCCAACUAUUGUCCAAUGGAAUACAUUGCUGACGAAUGGGAGAUCAAACGGGCUUCGGUGAUAAUCGGAGAAAAGAUUGGCAAAGGAGCGUUUGCUGUGGUUCACAAAGGAACCUAUGUCAAUCCAAAAGGAGGACCAACCGAAGUUGCCAUCAAAAUGCCCCACGAAGAUGCAGAGCACCUGGAAUGCAUGCAGUUCUUACAAGAAGCACAUCUCAUGAAAGAAAUCAAGGCCGUCCAUGUGGUACAACUUGUGGGCGUGGUGUCUGUGAACUUGCCUUACAUGGUCCUUCUGGAAUAUAUGGCAUUGGGGGACCUGCGAACUUAUUUGACAACCCACAGGCCCAACUCAGAGUUUAACCUUACAAAUAAGCCCCCUCCCACUUUUGCCAGAAUGUAUCAAAUGGCCCUUGAAAUUGCUGAUGGAAUGGCGUACCUUGCCAACCAAAUCAAAAGUGUGGUCCACAGAGAUCUUGCAGCCCGGAAUUGUUUAGUGUCUGCUCAGGGUAUCGUCAAAAUUGCUGACUUUGGAAUGGCACGUCAGGUUUAUGAUAAUUACCAGAAACAUGGCCCCGGAAAAAUGCCAGUCCGUUGGAUGUCCCCCGAAGCCUUGAGAGGCGAAUUUUCCACUAAGACGGAUGUGUGGUCCUAUGGAGUGGUUUUGUGGGAAAUUGUGACAUUGGGAGAUCUACCCUAUCCAGGGCUAUCUCAUAACGAGGUUAUGCAGUUUGUGGAUCAUCAAAAAGUUAUGCCGAAGCCAGAGUCGUGCCCUGAACAUUUUUACAGUCUCAUGAGACGGUGCUGGCACCGGCAUCUGUGGCAAAGACCGACAUUCCUCGAUAUUGCUCAAGAGCUCCAACCUUGGGCCAAUGAGAGAUUUCUUAGAGAGUCUUACCUGACCUCUCAGGAGGGAAAAUCCGCCUUGAAGGCGCAACGCGAACCCAAACGCCAGGAAGAGAAUGUCCCAAUUGACCCCUGGGCGAGUUCAACAGCUGAGGAAUGCAUCCCAUUGACUCAGAAUGGCGGGUCGCCCCGCAUGCACGGAGUCGGCAAGGAAGGCUAGAUAGUUCAGAUAAAAGUCAAAGACAUAUACCUCAGCCUCUUCUCUGGCAUCGAAACCGAAAUGGCCUCUACACCUGUAAAACAUGGUUGAAGGACAACAAAGCAAAGCCAUAACGGGAUGAUAUUGUCCAAACAAUCUCGCCCAUGUUGGUUGCUUCGGGGCUACCUAGGCCACAAAAUCAGCACCAAACUCAAACUAAAAAAUGCAAUCCAAUUGUAUAGAGCACUUUGAACUUGACUCAUUCAGAAUACACAAAAGUGGAAAGCGAAGCCUCAAAAAGGACGCGAUCCGGUGUGUUUCCCAUGCAUCUCCAAGCCACGCCCAAACAUCAGGGAUCCAUCGGGCACAGUAUACAAAAGUACGCUCUCAUUGCAAAAGGCCAUCAAAUUUGAUCAUUCGUAUCAUCUGACCAAAGUGAGACCUGCGGAAUCUGUGGGUCGUAAUUCCGCGAUCACGAUAGAGAAACCAUAUCUAGUCUCUAAUUUGCGAAAGGAUGUCGUUACGAUAAACAAGAGUGAACUUUCUCGAGAUCCUGUCCAAGAAAUCAACGAGUCUAGUCACAGUAUUCAUAUGCUGAUCUUAAAGUUCAAGAAGGCGAAACGGAAAAUUCUGGAGCAAGAACGCGUGAUCCAAGACUUGACAAAAAAGUGCAAGGAAUUAAAGCGAGAAUCGAGUAUUGUUCAAGCUGAUAAAUGUCGAUAUCUUGGUUGGAGAACAAAACGGGGAUCUGCUUUGAGCCAAUGAACGAUCCAACAGUCCGUGGGCAUAAUAAGGGCCCUUACUUGCAACGUCACACGGCCCAAAGAAAACGGGAAGAGACACGGUAGAUUGCUACUUAAAGUGCUCUUGCCUUGCCUUGAACGCAAUUUCCUUUCCGGAGAUUAUGUGACCCAGGGGACUAACUAUGAAUAAGAUUUUGAUAGUUAGCCAAAAACAACACAAACGCAUUAUAAUUCAAUGAAAAGGAAUCGACCCUUUAUUGGGACAUUGAAGCAGGAAAAGAAGAUGACGUCACCGUCAACUUUUGGGAAAUUACUUGUCCUUUUGAGGAUUCCUAGUUCUUUGUUAAGGGAUUAAAUUAGAGUUCCAGUUCAUUUAUUCAUAAAAGGAAUGGUUCAUUUAGCAUUGUAUUUUCAUAAACUGUCACAGUUCUACUCAUUAGCUUGCUCAAAAAUAACCUUUUAGCUCAAAAAGGCAUUUUUGGGGCUUAUUUUUCCUCUUUUAGAACUUUCUAUUUUUUACCAAAGACUUUUUGAAACCUUAGAAACGUUUUUAGUCUAAUAUUGUGCUUUGUAUCUUGGGUUUUUAGUACCUCUACUGUUUUGAAAAGUGCCCUAGUGACCUCCCAAAAGCUAUGCUAUUAUCAUCAAUCAGUUGCUACUUAAAGGAGUCAAAUUGAGCGGCUGACUCACAAAGCGCCCUCUGAAGUGCGGAACCUAAACCAUAUUUCGUGCAGCGUAAGGGGCCUACGGGUCGGCUGAAUUACGAUAAACGUUAUUCUCCACCGAUUA